GCCCUGGUGGUGUAGCGGUUAGUCUCUCCAGGUUCGGAGGCCUGGCUGCUGGUCGUUGGUUCGAUUCGUGUUCAGAGCA